rnacentral:lncRNA from 1 species
CAGACCUGGUGUCUCCUCUUGUAGCCUGGUCCCAGACCUGGUGUCUCCUCUUGUAGCCUGGUCCCAGAUCUGGUGUCUCCUCUUGUAGCCUGGUCCCAGAUCUGUCGUCUCCUCUUGUAGCCAAACAGUUUGGCGUGACAAGGAGUUAGCAUGAUGGCACAAAUGGACUGGGGUUGAUGGAAACCAGGCAUCUCUUUAGUGUAUGCCACGUUGUAGAGUAUGUCACCUCCCACGUGUUAUGUCUCUGAAAGAGAGAUGGUAUUUUAAAUGCUUCCAGGUUCACAUUGAGGCUUGGGUUAUUGUUAAAGUAUUUUCUAUUAAUCUAAUCCAGAUGUGUGCAUCACGUAAACAGUAACGGCCGUAGACUACAUGUUUUAUGGAAAGGGGAAAUAUAUGUCGCUUAAUCUAUUGCUUUCGUUUGUUUGCAAAGGAAAACUAAAUAUUGUGACUUUCAAAGGAAUGACGAAAGGUCAAAGAACUCCAUGGGGAGUCAUUCUGUUGAUCCAGUUCUCUGAUAAAGGCCCGAUGCUGCCACCUAGUGAACGUUCAGCAUUCCUGCAGCUCAUCCAAUCACUGUAAUAGACGGUGGACUAACUAGGUGUCGUAAGGGGUGUAAUGUCCUAAAUGGCGCCAUAUUCCCUAUCUAGUGCAUUACUUUUGACCAGGACCCAAUAGGUAGUGCUCUUUUCAAUUUGAGAAUACACGUAGCUGGUAAAAAAAUUAAUAUUUCUGUUAAAUUACAUCUGAUACAUACUAAAUAUUUCAUAUUUAUUUACCACUGAAAUUUCAUGAAAAACCAAAUAAAUAUGUAUACCAGCCUAAAGGUAAACAACUCGCUUAGUGUGCUGCCGAACUGCGGCAACAAGUGGCAAAAAUAGGACGUGUAUUGAGAACGGGUUAGGUGGCGUGUUCAUUCCUGGUCCAACGCUGAGCGGGCCAGAUCCAACAAAAACAGAUAGAAAACUAGUGGGUUAUUAAAACAUCUGUCCUUAAAAACCCUUGUAAUGGACUCACCUUGUUUGAGUGUAGCCUAUGUCUUGAAAUAUCACAUAGGCCUAAUGAUUUAACGUAAAAGAAGCGAAUAUAAUAGCGUUGGCUAUAGCAUAGAAGUAGGCCUAAAUUACUGUAACACUAGAAGGGGAAAAAAAACACUUCUUUAAGCUUUUUAGGAUCCACAUUGAAGCUGAGCAGUCACAUUUCUUUCCCUCGUGCGGUCAAAACUCAACAGCGUGUUGCACUAGGCAGGAUAUAGCCUAAGCUUUCUAUGAUCGAAAACAAAACACACGAAAGACGAUUACUUUGAAACCGUCUGUUGUAAUUCGCUCACGAAAACAGUAAUUCCUGAAGCUCUAAAUGCCUGUGGUAUUGGGUUUUACCUGUAUGUAGGUGUGUGACCCUGCUGACUUAUAGGAAGUUAAUGAGUUCAAUAAGUACAUGCCACGGAAGAACCAGAUCAGGACAGUAGUCUGGUAGGCCUGCGUCACUUGGACAGCGAUGAUAAUAACUGCAAUGCCAAUGCUGUGUGUGUGUGUUUUUUUUUUUUUAUGACGUUAGGGCACCUAUUAAAUUCAUGUUGAAUUUGCGUGCACCAGCAUGAGUCAUUAAUGUAAAUUUAGACUGUUCAUGUAGCACCUUGGACUGGAGUCCGGACACCCAACUGAACCUCAGCCAGACACUGACUGUCCCAUCACUUGAGUACAGAAUAUCACCUCUUCAAACUGUUUGUUUCAGAUGGCAUUAAUGAUUAUUGGUAUAACAAAUGAAUUGCUGUGGCGUUUUGACCUAGUUGAGGUUGGCCAGAUGUCUACACUUUGUCCAUGAAACAAAAAUCAAGCUAGUAUGAAAAUAGACGACAUGUAAAAUAAAAAAAUUAAAAGCUGACCUCUCUAUGUUUAUUCUGCUUCUAUGUGUCCACCAGUUUGGUGUAGUAUAGUUCCCCUUUUCAUCGAAUUAAACCUUGCCAUGAAUUGAAUUGGGUCAGUGAACUUUGUGGAGCAGAAGAAAUUGUGUUGCCCUAUUCUCACUUGACUUGACACUGAAACGUUAGGGAACUAGAAUGAACAUUGGACUUGUGAUGUGGUGUAACGAUUUUUAUGGGAAUAUAUAGACCAACUUUUUAAGAUGAAAGAUCAAAUAAAAGUGUAACAAGUUAUGUUUGUACUAGAUAUUUUCUAGACAAGGAGGCUGAAUUGGCAGCUUUUAGGCUAGCUAAGUUGAAUUAACCUGAGUGACAGUGGCUGUUUUGUGCCAUCUUGUCGUUCCAUUGGCUUGACAACGAGCAAUGGGAUGCCAUCAAGUAGAAGUAUUGUGUUUUUACUGUGGGCAGUGACACAAAACACUUGUAGAGCCCGUGAUGGGCAAGAAUCUAAAGGAAAUGAAUGGUAUUAUAUGGAGUCACUAACAAUGACUAAUCUAGUCUGUUUGUAUCCCAAAUGGAACCCUAGUCCCUAUGUAGUGCCUACAUAAGCCUCUGAUCAAAAGUAGUGCACUAUAUAGGGAAUAGGGUGCCAUUUGGGACUAAGUAGUGCACCAUAUAGGGUGCCAUUUGGGACAAUACUAUGUAUUUGUUUUAAUUUAAAGCACAUUAGGUGUCUGAAAUAAUGCGGCUUGAAUUAACUUCCAUUAUCUUCCCUAAUUUUAUUAUGAAUUUUCCGUAAGAGACAUACUGAGUGCAGCACAUUCAAGUUCACAAUUCAAGUAUGUUUGCCCUGUAUCGUUGUUAGCCAGUACUAUGUUUUGGGAUUAUCAAUGUUAUGCAUUGUAUAAUUUUUGCCUUAAAAUAAAGCAGUAUUUUUGUUUUCAAAUUGAAUAAAACAAUCAAAUAAAUAAACCUUUAUGGUCAGCAUAA